GAUAUUUCUAUAGAUAAUUAUACUCAUGUCUUUUUUAUGAAACAUAAAUCUGAGGUUAAAAAAGAAAAGCUUAAUUGUUUUCUGAGUAUGUUUAAAACUCAAACAAAAAACGUUAUUAAAACUAUUAGAAGUGACUGUGGAUUAGAGUAUAAGAAUUCGGAAGUUCAAUCAAUUCUAAAUCAUCUUGGUAUAAAGCAUGAAACAAGUGUACCUUAUACUCCUGAACAAAAUGGAAGAGCUGAACGUUCAAUGAGGACUAUUUGUGAGGCAGCCAGAACAAUGAUAUAUGCCAAGAAUUUUCCAAAAUCACUGUAGGCAGAAGCAGUCAAUACAGUAGUGUUCUCAUUAAAUUAUACUGGUAAUUCAGGGAAAGUAUGUAAAACUCCAUACAAGUUAUGGUUUGAUAAACUUCCUAAAACAGAAAAGUUCGUAGAUUUUAAAAUAAAUGCAUAUAAUUUAGUUCCAAAACAACAACGAAAGAAGUGGGAUGCAAAAACCCGAAAAGGAUACUUUGUUGGAUAUUCAGAAACUUCAAAUGGUAUCGUAUUUGGUAUAAAGAAAAUAACGAGGUGUCACUUAGUAGAGACGUCAUUUUCAAGGAAGAAAGUGUUAUAAAUUACCAACUUGUAGAAUAUUCUAAUAAUUUAAAUGAUAGUAAUAACAUUUAUGUUCUUAGCUUACACAAGGAUGGCUCAUUAGAAGACAGCAAUAAAUCAGAAGGAGAUGAAUUCAUGAAAAAUGAAUUUGGAUCAAUAAGUGUAGUUCACAAUGAAAAACAAGGACAUGAACAAGGAAAUGGGUCAAAUUCAAAUCCGAUCCAGUGAAUUUCAAGGAAGCUGUGGAGACACAAAAUUCAGAAAAAUGGAUAGAAGCCAUGGACAAUGAAAUGGAAUCUCUUAAACAAAACGGAACAUGUUCUCUCGUAAAGUUACCUAAGGACAGAACUAUUGUAAAUUGUGGUUGUAUAAAACAAAAAUACAAUGUUCAUGGAAUUGUUGAUCGAUACAAGGCUAGGCUAGUAGCAAAAGGGUAAAGUCAAAUAUUUGGUAUUGAUUUUAAUGAAACUUUUAGUCCUGUAGUAAAGUUUGAUUCAAUUCGGUCUAUAUUAGCUAUAUCAACAGCAGAACAAUUACAACUUCGUCAAUUUGACGCUCAAACAACCUUUCUAUAUGGAGAUUUGGACGAAGAAAUUUACACGAGACAACCAGAAGGGUUCAACGAUGGUAUCGAAAUGGUGUGCAGACUUCAACGCAGUUUAUAUGGCCUAAUGCAGUCACCACGAUGUUGGAACAUAAAGUUCAAAACAUUUCUUCUUAACUUUAAUCUAUUAGAAACAAAAGCAGAUCUCUGUGUUUUUGUUAAUGGAGAAAAUAACAAAGUAUUAAUUGUCGCUAUAUUUGUUGAUGAUGGUCUAGUUGCAGCUACAUCAAGUCAGGGUGUAAAUGCAUUAAUUGAAUAUUUGAGACAACAUUUCAAUAUUACCGAAGGAGAAUUGAAUCAAUUAUUAGGUACAGAAAUUGAGCAAAAAUCUGAUGGAUCAAUUGUAAUGCACCAAGGGUUGUAUUGUAAAAGAAUAUUGGAGACGUUCAAUAUGACUGAAGCAAAUCCAGUUCAAAUACCAGCAGAACCUCAACAUUCAUUAGAUGACAAGCAACAAAAUACUAAUCUAACUAGUAAAGUCCCAUAUCGUGAAGCAUUCGGAAGCUUAUUAUAUGUCAGUCAGAUUACAAGACCAGACAUAAUUUUUUCAUUAAAUCUAGUUAGUAGAUACAUCGAGGAUCCAAAGGAACAACACUGGACAGCAGUGAAACAAAUUUUAAAAUAUUUAAAGCAAACUAUUAAUUUUGGAUUGAUAUUUAGUUUUAGACAAAAACUCAUGUUAAAGGGAUACAGUGAUGCUGACUAUGCAGGUGAAUUGGAUACAAGAAGUUCAACAUCAGGGUCAGUAUUUACAUUAGGAUCUGGAAAUAUAACAUGGAGUUCACGUUGUCAACAGUGUUAGCCUUAGCAAAACUGAAUCAGAGUACAUAGCUUUAAGUCAAGCAGUACAAAAAUUAACUUGGUUAAAACUGUUUUUAGGUGAAUUGCUGGACCAGCCAAAAAUGGUGCCAACGAUGUAUGGAGACAAUCAAAGUGCGAUUAAACUCGUAAAAAAUCCAGAGUUUCAUAGAAGAACAAAAAGCUCAUAGAUGUUCGCUACCACUAUAUAAGAGAAAAGUUCAAUGAGGGAUUGUUUUCAUUAGAGUACAUAUCCAGCAAGGAGCAGAUUGCAGACGUUAUGACAAAGCCAACUCCAUGAACGCGGUUCAAUGAGCUAAGGAAGAUGUUAGGAGUUAUAAAUAUUGAUGUUUAAGGGAAAGUGUUAGAAUUAUAAACAAAACACCCUAUAUAAUGUAGUGUAUAAGUAAUAUAUUCACACUGUAGUUCAGCAGACCCUGACUAUACAUUUUUAUAAUACUACAGCAUAUAUGUCUUGUGUAAUGUAGCCGGGUAUACAUAGUUAGUCGUUGAUUUAUAUUACGCCUCGUAACACUAUUGUACAUCGUAUCAUUCUACUUAUUAUUAUAUUAUAUAUAUUCGAUCUUAUUAUUAUUUACCUUUAACUUCUGUAUGUCUGUGUACUUCAACAAUUUUAUUAAUUAGAUGGAAUAUUUUCACCUUCCUGCACACAACAAUCCUAGCAAAAUUGAAAUAGUUCUGCAAUUGAGUGAUUUUAGACCAGAUGGUGAUGGUUAUGAUGUAUUUGUUGCUGCGACGAAAUAAUUCGAUAAUGCGGAUGCAAAUUAGUUCGGUUUUUAUUAGGUAUUUAUUUAUUUAUUUAUUCGUAUAACUUAAUAAUGAACGCACUAACAAAAAUUUUUCCUAUUAAGGUUAAAAUAAACUAUAAAUAUUACUAUUAUAAAUUUAUAACUGAUAUUCAUAAACAUUUUAAGGUACAAAGUACCAUGACAAGCAAAAUAUCACAUUAAGUAUCACAGAUUUAAGUUUAGAUGUCUACAUUCAAAGCCUCUAACCAGGCCACUGCUUCAGGGGCCACUUUGAUGAAGUCCUCCAGGUCACCAUCGUAACUUCUCAAAUGGCAAUCCAGGAUUCAUUGCUGCAUUGAUUGUAUAUUUGCGCCACAGUCGCAUCCCGGACUCUCUGAACUUCGAUUUGUACAUGAAUUUGUUGCAUCUGCCUUGCCCUAAUUACUUGUGUGUGCGUCGCAGGUUAUGGCUCGUAAAAUUAAAGAAAAUAAAAACAUGACUCCAUCAUCUCUCUUACGGGAAGAAGACGAUAGCAGUGAUGACGAUAAUCAACGCAAUUGAGAAGAGAACAAUUGGGCAGUUGAAAGAACACCAAUUAAUAAUAGAAUGGCAGGCACAACAGACAUUGCGACGUUUGAACCAAUUAAGAGCUGAGAAUUAAAUGCUUGAUGAAAAACAUCAAUUUUAAUAGAAGAAUUAAGAUUUUUGAAAAAUUAUUCAUGGCACAAGCUUCUGUAAUUAAGUAAUAAGAUGGAUAUUGUGGAUAAUUACUGCUUAUAACGUUCCACCACCGACGCAAACAGCUACAACGUUUAUAAGUCCAACCUUACCCGCCAUCCAACAGCUACAAGUAUCAACUCCCGGACAAAAUCUGAAACCUUAUAUGACGAAGAGCUUCAUCACAGGUGCAUUUCAAAAGAUGGGAAAAUAUCCAAAGAAUGUCAAAUUGAUGCGUUAUACUGGCGAAACUGCUGAUUAUACAUUUGUUUAUCUAUGAUGCAUAAACUCAAUGAAAAAUAUAUACCUGGUACUAAUCCAUGCUUCAAAUGACUCAAGGGUAUAAGGCUAGUCUAGAUUAUGGACAGUUUUUUGAAACCAACUAUUGGCAUCGAUACUCAAUAUGGAACCAACCAAAAGUCAGAAUAAUGUGUUUAAGCCAGAAUCAGCUAGUGAAACUGUCGUUAUUAAGACAAAUGUCAAUUUUAAUCUAGUUGAUUACAAAAAGUCAAUGACAUGGAUGCAUUACACAAAGCCCUUGUCACACAAGAUUACAAUUUAUGGGAUCCACUUGAAAGUUGUAAAUGGCUACCAAUCGACACUAGAAGUUAUUUAAAUAAAAAUAACAUUUCACCAAGUUUUUUUUAUA